CUUCGGUCUACAGUUCCCAGCAAGACUGACAGAGAAGAUGGAUGAUUUCUGCAUUUCCAACUGAGGCCCCCAAUUGAUUGGAUGGUGCCCACGUGCAUUGAGGGUGGACCUCCUUCACUCCUCCCGACGACUCACAGGCCAGUUUCCUCCACGAGCACCCUCACAGACACACCAGAAGUAAAGCCUUACCAGCUUUUUACAUAUUUCUUAAUCCAUUCAAGUCGACACAGUUAAAAACUGACUGGGAAAAAAAAUGUAACCUCAAUACCCUAAAAGCUUGGAGAGUGACUGAAACCUUGCCUAUGUCCAGCUGUCCAGUAUUUGGUUUCUGAAGAGGUGGAGACCUAUUGGCAAGAACAGAGAAGUCUGGCCACUUUGCACAUGGGCUUGAAUUGUACCUAAGAGGAGGACUGAUCAUACGUCUGGAGUUAGAGGAGAGAGUUUCUCAACUCUUCAAUACCACUAUUUACCUUUGUUAAGGAGUAAAACUUCAGAAUUAAUUCAAGUGGCACUGUGAGACUCUUCCAGACUUGGCUAACACUCAUCGAGAGCCACUCAUUUCUAGUGUAUUUCUUGUCAGGUUCUGGAUGAAGAUCUGACCCCCUACACAAUGACUGCCUCCUGAAUUUCUAGUAAGUGAAAAGAAGAAUGGGGUAAAUGGAAGACAACUGGCAUUGGCACUGACACAUGGG
rnacentral:lncRNA from 1 species